UAGGACCUCCCCUCCCUCUUCCACAUCCGCAGUCACAACGCCAAUGGGUAGUUCUUCGCCCGUGCGGUCGAGGCGGUCCCAGCAACAGGACCAACCACGCACACUCGCAUCUCGCUCCUUGAUGUUACCAGGGAAGUAUAAAGGUUGUUUGAGUUAUAAAUAGCAAACCAAGAUUAGAGAUGGCCAGGAGGUGGAGCCAUGAAUGAUCUAUCCUAGUGGAUUUCCUUUCCUAGCAUCACCACAUGUAAAACAGGGGAGAUUUAAGAUCCAACACAUCAGCGAAGUGGCACCCUUGCUGACACAAGAAUACGUCCAGGUCUCGUAGAACACCUAACGCUGGUAAGUACUCCUAAUAUGCAAGUGGUUAUGCUGAUGUUGAUGAAUCGAUUGGUAUUUUGAGACUUGUAUUAUGUCUCCUUUGAGCAGGUUUUAGUUUCACCAGGUACACUACAUUAUUUGUUCACCUUAUUAUGAUUAUUUGAUCACUGUAUUUUAUUAUUUGAUCACUGUAUUAUCUGGAAAAAUUACGAAUAUGCCUACUCCUGUAUCAUAAUCACUUGUUGCCUACUCUGUCAGCCUUUGCAAAGAUUGCUACUGUUUUGUUGUCUAAACCACUGGCUAUCAAAAUUUCUUAAAGUGUUGUGUUAGUUCUGUAACCUUCAUCGGUCUAGAUAUUUUGUAUCUAAUCAUCCUCUAAUAAGCACAUCUGUUAAGUUCAAGUUAACACAGUUACACUCCCAUACAUGUAUACAAUGACGAUGACCUGUUGUACAUUCUUAUUGCUUGGGUAUUCAUUCUCUGGUGCUUAGAGUCUAAUG